rnacentral:snRNA from 1 species
GUACUUGGUUCUGCAGUACUUAUACUAAGGUUGAAACGAUACAGAGAUUAGCAUGGCCCCUGCACAAGGAUGACAGGCAUUCCAUAUAAAAAAAAUUAUGUGUG